GGCCCGAUGGUGUAGUUGGUUAUCACAUCUGCUUCACAUUGCUUAUGUAACGCAGGCGGUCCUCGGUUCGAGCCCGGGUCGGGUCA